rnacentral:rRNA from 2 species
CAGCCGCCGCGGUAAAACCAGCACCUCAAGUGGUCAGGAUGAUUAUUGGGCCUAAAGCAUCCGUGGCCGGCUCUGUAAGUUUUCGGUUAAAUCUGUACGCUCAACGUACAGGCUGCCGGGAAUACUGCAGAGCUAGGGAGUGGGAGAGGUAGACGGUACUCGAUAGGAAGGGGUAAAAUCCUUUGAUCUAUUGAUGACCACCUGUGGCGAAGGCGGUCUACCAGAACACGUCCGACGGUGAGGGAUGAAAGCUGGGGGAGCAAACCGGAUUAGAUACCCGGGUAGUCCCAGCUGUAAACUAUGCAAACUCAGUGAUGCAUUGGCUUGUGGCCAAUGCAGUGCUGCAGGGAAGCCGUUAAGUUUGCCGCCUGGGAAGUACGUACGCAAGUAUGAAACUUAAAGGAAUUGGCGGGGGAGCAC